CGUGAGUAAGACUGGUGUCCCUGUAGAAGAGGAAGAGACAUCAGAGAUGUGGGUGCACAGAGAGGCCAUAGGAAGACAGUGAGAAGGCGGCCAUUGUAAGCCAAGGAGCAAGAUCUCAGGAAAAACCAAACCUGCCAACACCUUGAUCUAGGACUUCCAGCCUCCAGAACUCAUUCCCUUCACAUGGCCGCCCACCAUGCUGAACUGAUGGAUUAUUGCAAGUCCUGGUCCUGGUUCGGUUGCCGCGUCCACAGCUCCUUGUGCAUUCUUCCCAAAGACUCCAUUCCGACCAGCUACCAUCCACUAUACAAAGGUGAACCAUUACACCAUCAGUAAGUGUCAAAAAUUUAAAAUUCCUGAGAUUCGCCUAGAGCAUGGGCUCUAGAGUCAUGUUUGCUGGAUUCAAAUUCUGUGUCUGCUCCUUACUACCUCUCUGAGCCCCAUGUGCUUAAAAAUGGUGCCUACUUCAGAGGAUUCCUGUUAGACUCAACAAGAGGAUGUGACUACAACUUUUGAACAAGGAAAAAUACUUCUUCAACUCUCUGUUCAUGCAUUCAGAUGGUGAUUUGGUUCAAGGUUGGACAUAUGAACUAGACCUUAUCAAUUAGAACAUUGCAACCUCUUGCUGUCUGUGAUUGGCUCUGGAUGGAUACAUGAUUCACACUUGGCCAAUUAAAACCACGGAAAUUCAAUUCUAGGGCUCCAAUUGUAAAUACUAGGAGAAAAAAACUUUCAUUUGAAUGUGGAACUAGGAGGAUGCAAGCCUAGAGCUGCUAGAGGCCACCUUGCUAUCCAAGGGGAUCCCCCUCCCUGAGAGUGACAUUAAUAAAGAAAAGCAGAGUCGAGAGAGGUAAAGUCUGGUUGACCUCAUUUGAACCACAGAAGUCAGACAUGACUGUAGCCAGCUCUAUUUUGGGACUUUUCUGAUUCAUAAGUCAAUGAAUUCUUUUUUUUUGUUUGUUUUCAUUUAAGUCAGUUUGUUUCUUAAUACUUCAAGAGUCCUGACUAAUGUGCUGUCAAUUUGUAGAAGAUAAUUACCUCCUUGGGAGAACUAUCAGUUUCUGGUUAUCUUUAUAGUCUCAAAAGCACUUAGUGUAACAUCCUGCAAACAUUAGUUCCUCAAAAAUACUUUACAGUAAAAGAAUGAACAACAAACAAAAGAAAAACUCACCGAGUAC